GCCUGGAGGCUGGAAUAACAAUAGUUUCAUACAGGUUAAAAGUCAGGUGACUGCGGUGAAGCUGUCAAUCAUAGACCUUGCUCCUGUUACCAUAGAGAUUGGUCAGGUGACUGAAGGCCAGCCAAUCACAAUUACUGUUCCAGUGCAAAGGGCUGCCCUCACAACAGAUGAAGUCAAAAUCUCAAGACUACGUCUCAUUGGUAUGACACAAGUCACAUGUCUGUUCCCAAACCUCUCACAGUGCUUGGGAGAAAAAUAUGCUGAUUAGCGAGGUCUUAGGGGAAUCUUUCUC
ensembl:lncRNA